GACGAACGCUGGCGGCGUGCUUAACACAUGCAAGUCGAGCGAGAGCCAGUUGAGGGGUAACCCUCGGCUGGGGACAGCGGCGAACGGGUGCGUAACACGUGGGCAACCUGCCCCUGAUACUGGGAUAACCCCGGGGAAACCGGAGCUAAUACCGGAUACUCUCGGCCGAUCACAUGGCUGGCCGAGGAAAGGUCCGCCGGUCAGGGAUGGGCCCGCGGCCUAUCAGCUUGUUGGUGGGGUAACGGCCCACCAAGGCGACGACGGGUAGCUGGUCUGAGAGGACGACCAGCCACACUGGAACUGAGAUACGGUCCAGACUCCUACGGGAGGCAGCAGUGGGGAAUAUUGCACAAUGGGCGAAAGCCUGAUGCAGCGACGCCGCGUGAGGGAUGAAGG
rnacentral:rRNA from 1 species